rnacentral:rRNA from 1 species
GGGGGUUACGCGGGGAAGUGAAACAUCUCAGUACCCGUAGGAAGAGAAAAUAAUAAUGAUUCUGCUAGUAGUGGCGAACGAACGUGGAUGAGGCUAAACCGUGUGCAUGUGAUACCUGGUAGGGGUUGUGUGUGCGGUGUUGUGGGCCCUGAUGAGGAUGGCUACUGACGUCCUGCCCGCGCAUUGUUGUUAGGUGAAGUGGUGUGGAAACGCCUGCCGUAGAAGGUGAUAGUCCUGUAGCUGAAGAUGAUGGUGUGUGGGUUGUUGGGUUGCCCGAGUAGCAGCGGGCUCGUGGAAUCUGCUGUGAAUCUGCCGGGACCACCCGGUAAGCCUAAAUACUCAGUGUGACCGAUAGUGGAUAGUACCGUGAGGGAAUGGUGAAAAGUACCCCGGGAGGGGAGUGAAAUAGUUCCUGAAACCAUGUGCUUACAAUCCGUCAGAGCACUUUUUGUGUGUGAUGGCGUGCCUUUUGAAGAAUGAGCCUGCGAGUCAGCGGCAUGUCGCGAGGUUAACCCGUGUGGGGUAGCCGUAGGGAAACCGAAUCCUAAUGGGGUGUCAAGUGGCAUGUCCUGGACCCGAAGCGGGGUGAUCUACCCAUGGCCAGUGUGAAGCAGCAGUAAGAUGCUGUGGAGGCGCGAACCCACGUAGGUUGAAAACUGCGGGGAUGAGCUGUGGGUAGGGGUGAAAGGCCAAUCAAACUCCGUGAUAGCUGGUUCUCCCCGAAAUGCAUUUAGGUGCAGCGUCGCAUUAGCUUGGUGGAGGUAGAGCUACUGGUUGGUUGAGCGGGACUACAAUCUUAGCAAUGUCAGCCAAACUCCGAAUGCCAUUAAUGUGUUGUGCGGCAGUGAGACUGUGGGGGAUAAGCUUCAUAGUCGAGAGGGAAACAGCCCAGAUCGCCGGUUAAGGCCCCUAAGGGUGUGCUAAGUGGAAAAGGAUGUGGGAUCGCGAAGACAGCCAGGAGGUUGGCUUAGAAGCAGCCAUCCUUGAAAGAGUGCGUAAUAGCUCACUGGUCGAGUGGUUCUGCGCCGACAAUGUAGUGGGGCUCAAGCACACCGCCGAAGCCGCGGCAAUAAUAUUUUGUUAUUGGGUAGGGGAGCGUCGUGCACGUGUUGAAGCGUUACCGUGAGGAGGCGUGGAGUGUGUGCGAGUGAGAAUGCAGGCAUGAGUAACGAAUUGGAAGGUGAGAAUCCUUCCCGCCGGAUGACUAAGGGUUCCUGGGUCAAGUUCGUCUUCCCAGGGUGAGUCGGGACCUAAGGCGAGGCCGACAGGCGUAGUCGAUGGAUAAC